rnacentral:misc_RNA from 1 species
GAUGAAGAACGUAGCGAAAUGCGAUAAGUAAUGUGAAUUGCAGAAUUCAGUGAAUCAUCGAAUCUUUGAACGCACCUUGCACCCUUUGGCAUUCCGAAGGGUAUGCUCGUUUGAGUGUCAUUGUACUCUCACACUCCCAAUUGCUUUGGAUUGGGAGCGGUGGACUUGGGUGUUGCUGCUUGACUGAGGCUCACCUGAAAUAUGUUAGUGCACCUCUUGAUUGGACAUAGUACGGCGUGAUAAGUGUCUUCGCCGGCUCCUCGCAAAGAGGGUGGCCGAUCGGGAGCUCUGUUGCUUCAAACUGUCUUCGGACAAUCUUCUGGCGACUUGACCUCAAAUCGAGUAGGACUACCCGCUGAACUUAAGCAUAUCAAUAAGCGGAGA